CGUCAAAUCAUCAUGCCCUUUAUGUUCUGGGCUACACACAUGAUACAAUGGCAAGUACAAAGGGAAGCCAAGCCGCAAGGCGGAGCAAAUCUCAAAAAACUUGCCCCAGUUCAGAUUGUAGGCUGCAACUCGCCUGCAUGAAGAUGGAAUUGCUAGUAAACGCAGAUCAGCAUGCUGCGUUGAAUACGUUCCCGGGCCUU
rnacentral:rRNA from 1 species